rnacentral:lncRNA from 1 species
CUCAGCUUCUACUGUACAGGUCACGGUUAAUAAAUAAAGUAAUAAUUAAUUUCACAAAAUUUAUAGCUUUAAUCUCAUGAAGUCAGGAUAUGCUGGACCCAUAUGAAAGAAUUGAUAAACUUAGCAAACAUGAUUUUGGAACAGUUUGUUCUACAUCUUGUUGAUGAAUAGGAAAAAUUAAUAAUUAGAAAGAAGAAAACUCAGUUUGAGCCCCAGAACGUGUAAUACAGUUCCCAGCCACAAUGUGGUUACUAUAAUAACCUAAUAGCUGAUUAUGAGAAAAUAUGUAACAAGAUAACUUUUUCAUCCUAGGAAUUCCAAUAUAAUUUCACCAAUUUUAAAAUUAUAAAAAGGCUAAACUACGUCAAGAAAGAGAACAAAUCAAAUAUGCAUACAUUUGAAGAAACAGACAAUUAAAGACUUACACAUUGUGAGGUUCAUUGGAUAUCAAUAUUUUGCAUCUACUUAUAUAUACAAAUAACCACCAGACAAUGAAAUCUAAGUUACUUAACUUUAUUCCUUAUAUAACCAUUUCUUCCUAUGGUAGAUCUUAGUUCUUCGCUUAAUGAAUGGCAUAACAACCUAUAGUUGUUCCCCAUCCAAUUGUAUAAUUAGCAUAAAAUACUUACUCCACAAUGAUAAAUAUAGCUUUGAUGUGUCACCUCCAAUAAUGAGAAAAUUUUCAAGAUUCAAUAAGUUCCUCGCAAUUAGUGGCCAAUAUUAGCGAAAGAAAGGAAACUCAAAGCCCCUUUCUGGAAACUAGUCAAUUGAACCUAAUGGAUGAGGCGUUUUGACGUCGCCUAUUAAGAAUAAACUCUUCUUCCUUAAAAUUGCCCAGCCAAGGCCGAAAAUGGCUGAUCUCAAGCUCAUCUUAUAAUCGUCACAGGGCAUAAUGAGAGAUCCCUUAUACAAUGGACACAAAUAAACUAAAAGAAUAAGCUUCUGAAUAAAUAUUUUUACACAUGAAUGUGUCAUCUUGAGGAUAACUAUUUCUCAGAAGAGUGGGAAGGGAGAUGCAUUC